rnacentral:rRNA from 1 species
CCUACGGGUGGCUGCAGUGGGGAAUAUUGGACAAUGGGCGAAAGCCUGAUCCAGCCAUGCCGCGUGUGUGAAGAAGGCCUUCGGGUUGUAAAGCACUUUCAGUGGGGAAGAAAGCCUUGGGGCUAAUACCCUCGAGGAAGGACAUCACCCACAGAAGAAGCACCGGCUAACUCCGUGCCAGCAGCCGCGGUAAUACGGAGGGUGUGAGCGUUAAUCGGAAUUACUGGGCGUAAAGCGCGCGUAGGCGGUCUGAUAAGCCGGUUGUGAAAGCCCCGGGCUCAACCUGGGAACGGCAUCCGGAACUGUCAGGCUAGAGUGCAGGAGAGGAAGGUAGAAUUCCCGGUGUAGCGGUGAAAUGCGUAGAGAUCGGGAGGAAUACCAGUGGCGAAGGCGGCCUUCUGGACUGACACUGACGCUGAGGUGCGAAAGCGUGGGUAGCAAACAGGAUUAGAUACCCUGGUAUUC